rnacentral:tRNA from 1 species
GGCCCGCUGGCCAAAUGGUAAGGCGUCAGAUUUCGGUUAAGAAUCACUCUGAAGAUUGCGUGUUCGAGUCGCGCGUGGGUCG